rnacentral:rRNA from 1 species
GACGAACGCUGGCGGCGUGCUUAACACAUGCAAGUCGAACGGAAAGGCCCUGCUUUUGUGGGGUGCUCGAGUGGCGAACGGGUGAGUAACACGUGAGUAACCUGCCCUUGACUUUGGGAUAACUUCAGGAAACUGGGGCUAAUACCGGAUAGGAGCUCCUGCUGCAUGGUGGGGGUUGGAAAGUUUCGGCGGUUGGGGAUGGACUCGCGGCUUAUCAGCUUGUUGGUGGGGUAGUGGCUUACCAAGGCUUUGACGGGUAGCCGGCCUGAGAGGGUGACCGGCCACAUUGGGACUGAGAUACGGCCCAGACUCCUACGGGAGGCAGCAGUGGGGAAUCUUGCACAAUGGGCGGAAGCCUGAGGCAGCAACGCCGCGUGCGGGAUGACGGCCUUCGGGUUGUAAACCGCUUUCGCCUGUGACGAAGCGUGAGUGACGGUAAUGGGUAAAGAAGCACCGGCUAACUACGUG